rnacentral:misc_RNA from 1 species
UCCCGGUUCACCCGGGCAGUCUCGUUAGAGUUCCCACCUUCACGUGUUGGCAACUAACGAUAAGGGUUGCGCUCGUUGCGGGACUUAACCCAACACCUCACGGCACGAGCUGACGACAGCCAUGCAGCACCUGUGCAGAGACCCUUGCGGGAGACGCCAUUUCUAGCGCUGUCCUCUGCAUGUCAAGCCUGGGUAAGGUUCUGCGCGUUGCAUCGAAUUAAACCACAUGCUCCACUGCUUGUGCGGGUCCCCGUCAAUUCUUUUGAGUUUCAACCUUGCGGCCGUACUCCCCAGGCGGCACACUUAACGCGUUAGCUACGGCACAGCUGAGGUUGAGUUCAGCUACACCAAGUGUGCAUCGUUUACGGCAGGGACUAC